UACGUAGGGUGCGAGCGUUGUCCGGAAUUAUUGGGCGUAAAGAGCUUGUAGGCGGUUUGUCGCGUCUGCUGUGAAAAUCCGGGGCUCAACCCCGGACUUGCAGUGGGUACGGGCAGACUAGAGUGUGGUAGGGGAGACUGGAAUUCCUGGUGUAGCGGUGAAAUGCGCAGAUAUCAGGAGGAACACCGGUGGCGAAGGCGGUGGGCUGGGCCGGAACUGACGCUGAGGAGCGAAAGCGUGGGGAGCGAACAGG
rnacentral:rRNA from 1 species